UUAUGUAUUUAAUUUUUAAGUAAUUAAUUUUAACAUUAAAAGACCAUUAAACUUAAAGGCGAAGUGCACAAUGUUUGAAAAGGGAAAAGGGAGUCAGGCCGACUACCAAAACACACUUGUAGCCAAUCAGCAGUAAGGGGCGUGUCUACUAACCGACAUCCUUGCCGGGGUUGCGUAUGUGUGGGGCGGGUCUAUCAAAAGAAGGUCCAGAUUCUAUUGGGUAGGAGCGUGUUUGUUUAGGUGAUUUUAAAUGUCAACAUUGGCUUUCAAACAUUGUGCACUCUGCCUUUAACCAUUAUUAUUAAAUAAGGAAUAGUUUAUAUCCCUAAAGCGGUUCAUUUAACAACUUAUUUAAGUGUUAUCUAACGUGCAGUUCCCGGAAGAAAAGUGUGUUAAAGUCCCAAUGAAACAGAAGAAGGGAUCAUCUUAUUUUCCUCGUCGUGACCAUAGACUGUAAAAAAUAUGCACGUACUGUGCGUGACAUCACUCGUAGGUUUGUGAAGAGCUUUUUUGAAGCCCACAGUAGGCAAAGCCUGCCGUCUUCAUCUUGCCACCGCGUCACUCCUGGAUAACCAAAAAUCGUCAAAAAGAUGGGACAAAGGUGGACCCAAGAUAACUAGUCUCGCGUAGCCAGAAUUUUUUGCUGCUUUUUCUGGACAAUGCCCGCCCAUGACGCUGUUUGACCGACAUGUCAAACAACCAAUCACAGUUUGUUUCGUCUAGCGUCACAUUUCGGACUCCCCACAAUAACGAGCCGACUGGCAACAAGUCAGUUAUUGAAAUAACUAGCCAACCGAAUAGCAUCUAAAUAAACAACAUAACUCAUCGUAGAACAACGUUUUGCACUUCAUCAACAGCCACACCAAUGAGACGCUCCCGUUAAACGUCUGUUUGAAGCAUAUCUCUCUACUUUUUAACACCUACAAGCAAUUCAGGAGAACCAAACUUUUUGACUCCACUAACUGCCUCAAGCAAAACUCUUGGACGUCUUUUAGAGAGUCUAUGCCGCAAACUUUGCAUAUUUUUGAGAAUCCAAUGUUUAGCUGAUCAUGAUAACUGGUCAUUAUUAUCCACGUGAACACGACUGAUUCUCUUCCUCAAUGGAACGUCAGAGCUUUGUUUUCCAAGACCGAAACUAAUCGUGACACUCACGUCUCCUGGAAAUCCCGUAUAUUUCAACCAAUCAAAGACGACUUCGACAUUCCCACAGGGUUUCCAGAAAAGUGUACGAUAAACAUCAGACAUUUAGCCAACAUUCUGUGGGCGUGACGUCUGAGACUACAAGAUGAUUGGUUGCUGAAAGCACGUCCACCUAGCUCCACGGGAGUGACAGCAGCAGCAUUUCACCUGUCACUUAAGCGGCUACGCCCUUAAUAAUGCAGAAUUUUAAGGCUUAAUAUAAUUUAAACGCAUGAUUAACAAAACAAUUCACCCCCUCACAGUUGUCAUGAAGGACAAAGUAGCUAUAUCAAAAACACUUACCAGGCUGUAAAGAUUUAUUUCUGCUGUAAAGUUGGCCAUUUUAACAUGUGGGUCUAUAAGAUUGGCAAGUCGAUGAAUUGUAGAGAGACCAGAAGGUUGUCCCUUGGUCAUGACGUUUAGAGGGUAUGCAUUGAUGUCACUUUUCCUUGUGACCAAGCCGGAGUUGGCAUGGACGAUCCAUUUACUUCUCUUUUUUUUUUUGCUGUCUGUAAAACGAUAGCUCCGAAUUCUUGUUAAAUCUGUUAGUACAGUCUAUCGCACAACAGCUUUUUCUCAUUUAGACGCCUUUUCGCUGAUUUCACACUGUACACAAAUUCUGCUGAUCUAUCUUUUGCCACUCAGUGGGUGUAACUACGGAUGAACCGAUACCACUUUUUUGGAAUACGAGUACUUGCAUUUCAGUACUUACCGAUACCAAGUACUUAAAAAAAACAUGAUUUAAAUUUACAGGUAACAGCUUUAGUCAUAUAAUUUAACAAAAAAACAAGGGACUAGUUUGGAAUUAAGAACAUAUGAAAAACAUGUUGUACACAACAUAUUACAGAAUAAAUUAUAAUUAUUAAAAAAAAUGUAAACAGUGACAGUGCAACUCAAGUAUUUUUUUCAGUUUGUUGUAAACUCUGCCUCUUUGGACAACACAAGAGGCAUUAACCCCUUACACGCCGCUCAAACAUAGACAUUUCUCAGACCGUGGUAUCGAUCCCCGGUAUCGGGGGACUUUAGAAAAUUCGACCAGUAUCGGUAUCGGUGCAUCCCUAGGUGUAACCCAUAGAUAUGUACACUAGAUGUCGCCUUGGCUACAGCAGUUCAUGGGAACGAAUGCGUCAAAUAGAGCCACCAUCUUUAAACAGGGCAGCCCUGCAUCAUCGUCAUUGUAUGCAAAUGGUGUAACAGAAAUAAAAUCACCAUAAAUCAUCAUGAAUGCGAUUUUCUAUUUUUUUUUGUUCGUUCCAACAGUCAGACAUGUAUUUAGCAUUGAGUCCAGAAAAAAAUUGAUAUUAUGAAAAUCUACUUUUUCUAACUAUAAUGCAUAGUGCUAGUAGGCCUAACAUCCAUACGCAGCACAAAAGUCCGGCAUCGUCCAUGAAAUCGAAGUACAAGCAGAGAUAGCAGCGUUACCUAGCUACCUAGAGAUGGGUAUAAACGGAGGUCGGAGCCAGCUGCAAAUGGGUUAGCAGCAAGUGGGUGGAGCUUUAGCCGCAAGUGGGCUGUACAAACUUCCAGAGGAUUUUGAUUGGUUUAUUUAGUAUCACCUGUGUUGUAGCAGCUACUGGUUUAUGCUCCACAGUUGGUGGCGGUAAUGUGUAAGUUUUGUUGCGAUCGAUCAGAAAACAAAGAAAACCGCUUUCACACGUCAGUGUGCCGUUGAAAUGAAGGGGUAAGCUUACUGCAGCUGUACAGUUUUUAGUUUUGUAAAAAAGGAUUAUAAGUUCUGAAGAAGACCAUUUUAUAGUGCUGUUUGUACGCUGUUUUUAGUCUUGAUGUAUUAAAAAAUAAAUAAGGGUAAAGUGUAUCCAAAUAUAUUUCUGUAGUUUUUUUAUUAGCACACAAAUUACAAAAUCUGUAACGUGCAUGACAAAAUCUUUUCUCAUUCCAUUUCUACAAUUUGCUCUCCAGAUUAUGGAUUCUGAAGGCCAUAAUAAGGUAUUGUGUAAAAGUGUUCAUUGAGCUUUUUUCUGCAUAAUCCACAAUGUUAUGUAAUGUAAUGUAAACAUUUGUUUUAAUAUCAUAAUUAUUUUAUAAAAUGUAUUACUCAUAACAAUCAGUGAAAUAAAUGUGAAACGCAUGUUAUUGUGUUUUAGGUUCACUUACCAGUGAAAGAUUUUUUUUGAUGUCCCACAUAUGAUCAAAGCUUCUGCUGUAAUGUAUAAAGUUUUUAAUUUACAAGUUGUUGUGUGUUUAUCACAUCAAUUAAUAAUUUAUGGUGUGUUUGAUUUCAUUACAAGGACAAUGCAAGACAAAGGCUGUCAAAUAACUGGAGUGUUUGUCUUGAUGGCAAGUACAUAUAUAUGUACUGUAAAUGAGGAACAUCGAGGUAAUUGAUUGCUGUUACCCAUUUAACCUUUUUUGGUGUUUCUUUGCAUAUUAUAGUGCACUUACUUAUUGAAGUAAGUAUUUAUUUUUGUAGCUAUAUGCAUUUUAAUAUAAUUGAAAAUUGUACUAAUUCAUUACUUUAUGUACACAGCUAAACACGAAAAACAUGAGAAAAUGGUGGUGUGCCAUCUUGCUUAAAAAUUAAGUAAGUGUGAAAAAAUUAGCUGUACUUUUAACAUGUGGUGUUUUUAAGAAACCCUUAAAGAAGUGAAGAAAUCUUGUUCAGUCUGUAAACUGUUUUGGGAAGCGAUGGAACGGAAUGAUUUAGUGACUUGCUCAUAACACUAUUUCAGUAAAAAUAUAUUCUGCAGACCCUUUGAGUGAAAAGAAGUAACAAAGUGUUUCAGUGAUGAUAAAAAUCAGCAGGUGUACUUGCUCUAAUCAAACUCCUUUAAUAGCUGUUCUUAAUACUAUUAGGGGUUGGCAAGAUUUUGAAAUGUUGUUGUUUUUAAUUGGUGAAUAAUUUAAAAUUGGACCAUUAAUUAGAUUUUUUUCUAUAUUUACAAAAGUCUUUACUGUAACUUGUGAUCAAUGUAAUGCAUCCUUGCAUUCAAUUAAUUUUGAUAUUGUACUUGUUCUAUUUCUGACUUUAUUUGGUUUUGUUGCAUGAUAAUCAAAUUGUGGAAGACAUGGGAGAAAGAGAAAAUGAGCUGUUGUAGCUGGUAUUGUCAGCUUUUUAUAUUUUGCUGAUAUUUUUUGUCAAAUAAAAAAAUUAAUGGAUAAUUUUAUCACUUUUUUAUUCUAAUUCUCUUUCAGAAGAAGAAGAAUGCUCUGCACUCUCUGAAACCUAUAUGGGAAGAAAAAAACUGAACUUGCAUAUGAAACAGACCAAACCCCAGUUGUGCCCUCUGUUUUUAGCAAGGAUGAGCUGUUAAAAGAUGAUGACCCUCCAUCAUGCUUCAUCUUCAAGGUAGUUGAAUGUUAUAUAAUGUGCUUUUUAAAAAAAAUUUAACGGCCUGUGCUAACUUUGCAGUUAUCAGGAGCGUUGCUGAAGAAUAUAUUCUUAUAUAAUAUUCUUGAAGUUGUUCUUCAAGAAGGAGAUGUUGCCUACAUGACCCUGUCAUUGGCUUGCUAAAGGUUCAGGGACAUAGUUGGGGAUGACAAGUUCAAGAAUCAGGCACACUUCUUAUGGCCUCAACCUUCCACCUUCGAUUUUGCAGUUUUGACUGCAUGCAGGUCAGUUCUAAUGAGCUAAUAUAGUUUCCUUACAAAAACAAAAAAGACUAAAAAUAAUAAAAUAAACACUUUUGCAAUCAAUUCUGAGUGACUUGUACAUGAUUUUAUUCAUUGAAAAAAUUAUUUAAAUUUAACAUAUGUGUAACACGUUCAGAAAAACAUUCGUCUGCUAUUUAAAAAAAUUAUGCAGUAAAGAUGGAUGGUAACUUUUUUUUUUACAUUAGCUACAUGUUUUUCAUGUAUUUACACCAGGGUUCCCCAAAUCUUACCCUGGAGGGCCGAAGCACUGCAGAGUUUAGCUCCAACCCUGAUCAAACACACCUGAACAAGCUAAUCAAGGUCUCCAUGAUUACUAGAAAAUCACAGGUGGGUACAUUU